GUAGGGAAUCUUCCGCAAUGGGCGAAAGCCUGACGGAGCAACGCCGCGUGAGUGAUGAAGGUUUUCGGAUCGUAAAGCUCUGUUGCCAGGGAAGAACGUCCUUAAGAGUAACUGCUUAAGGAGUGACGGUACCUGAGAAGAAAGCCCCGGCUAACUACGUGCCAGCAGCCGCGGUAAUACGUAGGGGGCAAGCGUUGUCCGGAAUUAUUGGGCGUAAAGCGCGCGCAGGCGGCUGUUUAAGUUUGGUGUUUAAUCCCGGGGCUCAACUCCGGGUCGCAUCGAAAACUGGACGGCUUGAGUGCAGAAGAGGAGAGUGGAAUUCCACGUGUAGCGGUGAAAUGCGUAGAGAUGUGGAGGAACACCAGUGGCGAAGGCGACUCUCUGGGCUGUAACUGACGCUGAGGCGCGAAAGCGUGGGGAGCAAACAGGAUUAGAUACCCGAGUAGUCC
rnacentral:rRNA from 1 species